rnacentral:rRNA from 1 species
UACGUAGGGUGCAAGCGUUGUCCGGAAUUAUUGGGCGUAAAGAGCUUGUAGGUGGUUUGUCGCGUCUGCUGUGAAAAUCCGAGGCUCAACCUCGGACUUGCAGUGGGUACGGGCAGACUAGAGGUAUGCAGGGGAGAACGGAAUUCCGUGGUGUAGCGGUGAAAUGCGUAGAGAUCGGAAAGAACACCAACGGCGAAAGCACUCUGCUGGGCCGACACUGACACUGAGAGACGAAAGCUAGGGGAGCGAAUGGG